AUUGAACGCUGGCGGCAGGCUUAACACAUGCAAGUCGAGCGGAGAUGAGGUGCUUGCACCUUAUCUUAGCGGCGGACGGGUGAGUAAUGCUUAGGAAUCUGCCUAUUAGUGGGGGACAACAUUCCGAAAGGAAUGCUAAUACCGCAUACGUCCUACGGGAGAAAGCAGGGGAUCUUCGGACCUUGCGCUAAUCGAUGAGCCUAAGUCGGAUUAGCUAGUUGGUGGGGUAAAGGCCUACCAAGGCGACGAUCUGUAGCGGGUCUGAGAGGAUGAUCCGCCACACUGGGACUGAGACACGGCCCAGACUCCUACGGGAGGCAGCAGUGGGGAAUAUUGGACAAUGGGGGGAACCCUGAUCCAGCCAUGCCGCGUGUGUGAAGAAGGCCUUAUGGUUGUAAAGCACUUUAAGCGAGGAGGAGGCUACUGAGACUAAUACUCUUGGAUAGUGGACGUUACUCGCAGAAUAAGCACCGGCUAACUCUGUGCCAGCCGCCGCUGUAAGAC
rnacentral:rRNA from 1 species